rnacentral:lncRNA from 1 species
CUCCAGCCUACCCACAGGCACCACCGGCUCAUGCACACAAAGGAGUAUUUCUGGAGCCCACUGCUGUAAGAUUGCAUAAUCGCUCAUGCAAUUUAGUCGGCGGGGACAGGAGAAUGAGGCUCCUUCACUGCCGUUGUGUGUAGGUAUGCAGAGGAGUUAUGGCUAAAUAACAGCAGCAGCAGCCAAUGAAGCAUCUAUAUUUGGCUGGCUACUUAAAUGGACAAAAAGGAGGAUUUUUUCCAUCUUCUUCAUUAACGGCCACCAAAAUGGGACAGAGGGGACACCCAUGGGGAAAUGCCAUACAGUGCAGAUGAGGCCAGUCUACUCCAGAUGAGGACAGCCAAGUAAUGUAUGUGAAGACAUGCUGCAGCACGUGUGCAGUUGUGUUUCCAAUGACAGCCAGUGGCGAAGGCAUGAAGUAGUGGAAAGAAGAAAGAAGGUAACAAUGAAGAUCUUUGAAAAAUCAUUUAUCAGACAACAAGUCCCCUGGUGUGUUGAACAAGGGAGAAAUCAUGGAGGUGGAGCUACGUCCUGAAUUUGUCUCGAGCUGGGAUAAGCGUGUU